rnacentral:tRNA from 1 species
AUUUGAGUAGUUUAAUAAAAAUAUUGAUUUGUGGUGUCAAAGAUGCGGUGUCAGCCUUGAAUU